UUCAGUGGAGUUCAGUGGUAGAGUAUCUGCUUUGCAUGCAGAAUGUCCCAGGUUCAAUCCCUGGCAUCUCUAGGAAG